rnacentral:tRNA from 1 species
AGAGCUUUAGUUUAGUUAAAAUGUCUGUGUUGCAAGCAGGAGAUGUGAUUUAUUGCAAGUUCUA